AUUGAACGCUGGCGGCAUGCCUUACACAUGCAAGUCGAACGGCAGCACGGGGGCAACCCUGGUGGCGAGUGGCGAACGGGUGAGUAAUGCAUCGGAACGUGCCCCGUAGCGGGGGAUAACCAGUCGAAAGACUGGCUAAUACCGCAUACGCUCCACGGAGGAAAGCAGGGGAUCGCAAGACCUUGCACUAUGGGAGCGGCCGAUGCCCGAUUAGCUAGUUGGUGAGGUAAAGGCUCACCAAGGCGACGAUCGGCAGCUGGUUUGAGAGAACGACCAGCCACACUGGGACUGAGACACGGCCCAGACUCCUACGGGAGGCAGCAGUGGGGAAUUUUGGACAAUGGGCGCAAGCCUGAUCCAGCCAUGCCGCGUGCGGGAUGAAGGCCUC
rnacentral:rRNA from 1 species